GUGAGAACGGUAUACUUGCAAGACGGACGACAUACGCCUCACACCCCAAGCCUGGCACCCUUUAACUCCGCCUCUAACUCCACCUCUACAGUGAUGCAAAAAGAAAGGCGUCACAUUUGAGAAGGAGAAACAUAUGCACGGUUAUUGCAAGCACAGUUGCAUUUAAAUUUUGACAGAAGUGGAUACACAAGUUACAUAUAACAGCAGUGAAAGGAGGAGUGUUGCCUGAGGUGAAACGGUGUACCCAAUGCUGCAGAUUGUACCACUGUCCAUUAUACCAGCCAAGCAAAUAUAAACCCAAUAAAUGCCACCAUUUAAAAAAGCACGUGGAUGUCCAUCUGAAGGGUGCAGUGUGAUGGUUUGUUAUUUAAUGGUUUUUACAUGUAACAUUGUUGAAGGUUGUUUAAUAUAUUUAGUGAACAAUAUGCAUUUCAAGUAAAAUAUCAUUAAUACUUAUUGUUUAGAUAUGUUUAUUUAAAUGUUUAUAGAGAAUGCUCAGGAAUACUCACUUGCAAAUACAGUAGGCUCCAUAAUUAUUCAUACCCUUUAUUCAGUGUAAAUGAAAUGGGGGAAUUAAAUUAAAACUUGACCCACCAGCUAAUCGCAAAGUCAGAAUUUAAUGGUGGCUGUAUUUAUUAUUAGAAGAAAGUACCCACUUAUGAUAAAUCAAACUGCUAUUAAGUACAUAUUUCUAAUUUGGUUUUAGUGGAUGGGUCUAAAUGUUGCUUUAAUCCCCCCAAAGUUGGUUUUAAAAUAUCAACAAAAAGCAAGUGUAUAUUCAUUAUUUCUUGCUAUAUCAUAAAAACAUAUCUGUCAAAAAUAACUGCAUUUUAAUUUAAUAUCCAAACUGCAUUAUAUAUUUGUAAUAAAGUUCUUUGUUUGCGA